rnacentral:pre_miRNA from 1 species
AAUAUACUCCCUCCGUUCGGAAUUACUUGUCACAAAAAUGGAUGUAUCUACAACUAAAAUACAUCUAGAUACAUUCAUUUCUUGGACGAGUAAUUCCGAACGGAGGGAGUACAUG